rnacentral:rRNA from 1 species
GAGUUUGAUCGUGGCUCAGAUUGAACGCUGGCGGCAUGCCUUACACAUGCAAGUCGAACGGCAGCAUGAUCUAGCUUGCUAGAUUGAUGGCGAGUGGCGAACGGGUGAGUAAUACAUCGGAACGUGCCCUGUAGUGGGGGAUAACUAGUCGAAAGAUUAGCUAAUACCGCAUACGACCUGAGGGUGAAAGUGGGGGACCGCAAGGCCUCAUGCUAUAGGAGCGGCCGAUGUCUGAUUAGCUAGUUGGUGGGGUAAAGGCCCACCAAGGCGACGAUCAGUAGCUGGUCUGAGAGGACGAUCAGCCACACUGGGACUGAGACACGGCCCAGACUCCUACGGGAGGCAGCAGUGGGGAAUUUGGACAAUGGGCGAAAGCCUGAUCCAGCAAUGCCGCGUGUGUGAAGAAGGCCUCGGUUGUAA